rnacentral:rRNA from 1 species
GUGCAAUACGUUGCACUAUCGUUAGAUGAAUACAUAGUCUAACGAGGCGAACCGGGGGAACUGAAACAUCUAAGUACCCCGAGGAAAAGAAAUCAACCGAGAUUCCCCCAGUAGCGGCGAGCGAACGGGGAGGAGCCCAGAGUCUGAAUCAGUUUGUGUGUUAGUGGAAGCGUCUGGAAAGUCGCACGGUACAGGGUGAUAGUCCCGUACACCAAAAUGCACAGGCUGUGAACUCGAUGAGUAGGGCGGGACACGUGACAUCCUGUCUGAAUAUGGGGGGACCAUCCUCCAAGGCUAAAUACUCCUGACUGACCGAUAGUGAACCAGUACCGUGAGGGAAAGGCGAAAAGAACCCCGGCGAGGGGAGUGAAAUAGAACCUGAAACCGUGUACGUACAAGCAGUGGGAGCACCUUCGUGGUGUGACUGCGUACCUUUUGUAUAAUGGGUCAGCGACUUAUAUUUUGUAGCAAGGUUAACCGAAUAGGGGAGCCGUAGGGAAACCGAGUCUUAACUGGGCGAAUAGUUGCAAGGUAUAGACCCGAAACCCGGUGAUCUAGCCAUGGGCAGGUUGAAGGUUGGGUAACACUAACUGGAGGACCGAACCGACUAAUGUUGAAAAA